CCUACGGGAGGCAGCAGUGGGGAAUAUUGGACAAUGGGCGCAAGCCUGAUCCAGCCAUGCCGCGUGAGUGAUGAAGGCCCUAGGGUUGUAAAGCUCUUUCGCACGCGACGAUAAUGACGGUAGCGUGAGAAGAAGCCCCGGCUAACUUCGUGCCAGCAGCCGCGGUAAUACGAAGGGGGCUAGCGUUGUUCGGAAUCACUGGGCGUAAAGGGCGCGUAGGCGGGUCUUUAAGUCGGGGGUGAAAGCCUGUGGCUCAACCACAGAAUGGCCUUCGAUACUGGGGACCUUGAGACCGGAAGAGGUGAGUGGAACUGCGAGUGUAGAGGUGAAAUUCGUAGAUAUUCGCAAGAACACCAGUGGCGAAGGCGGCUCACUGGUCCGGGUCUGACGCUGAGGCGCGAAAGCGUGGGGAGCAAACAGGAUUAGAUACCCGAGUAGUC
rnacentral:rRNA from 1 species